AUGGGGUUGUCUUCGGCCGCUGAGAUCGACGGGGCGCAGCUGUGUAUCUUCGACCUGAGGAGAGGGCAGCAGGAGGGGCAGGAGCUCGACAAGAUCCUCUUCUUCCACCCGGCUGACUGCCCCAUCCUGCUCCAGCUCUCCGUCAUUGGCCUCUGCGAAGGAAUCAUCACAUUCACAAGAAUAUUUUCUCCAGAAGAUGACUGUGAGGUGAUAGAAUCUGAUAAACACUGCCAUGUUUUUUACCAAGCUGAGCCAGAUAUUUGGAUGGUUCUGGUGGUGCAGAAAAUUAAGGACAAUGAAUCAACUUUGCGCUUUGGUGCAUUGCAAGGAAUACUAAAAGAAUCUCAUUCGCUUUUCACAAUGUUUCAUGGACCAAUUCGAACUUUACUUGACAGACAACCAAGUGCUGAAUUUGCCCGCGGUCACCUCCACACAUUUGUCACAGAUUAUUUGAGCGAUUUUAGUGUUGGCAAAAAGCUACAAUUGCCAACCUACCGUGAUAGCCUAACGGAGCGGGGAACAGUCCAAAUGCUAACUGUCUCACGAGAAGUGGCACUUGAAGUUCAGUCACUCACCACAGUUCUUGGGUCAUGCCUUCGAAACGUAAUCUGCCAAUCAAUUGUAUUAUUUGAGGACCUCUUGGUGUCUACGACACUUCCCCUGGAUGAUACAUUAAACCUAUACACUUAUGCAAUCCUGCGGUUGACUCCUAGUGCUUUAUCUUCCAACGGGAAUUCAUGGUCCUAUUUGCGUAAAGGGGGUUAUGUUAAUGCUGACACCACUUCAAGUUCGGCAAAUGGAGCAGCUGCAGCAGAAAGGCCUCUUCAGCGUGAGAAAUUGUCCAAGGGAAAAGAUGGUUUUGUUGCUGCUGACUUUGUAACUACAGAAAUUCGUGGUGCUGUACCGCUGAAUCCAAUACUGUGGUUCCAUCAGGCAGAGGAGCGCAUGUAUUUAUGUGUUUAUCAGCAUAAGAACCUUACUAUCUUGCUAGUGAUUCCAGCUUCCUCACUGAUAAAUGGAGAAGAGGGUAUUGCUCAUGUGAAGAGGCAUCUUCUUGAAAAUGCCUCACAGAACAUUGUCACUGUUGAACAAAAAUUAUCACGAGGAUGGGGAGGAGAAAAUGCCUAUCAUGUCGGUGGAUACCGUUAUAUACUCUCUGAUCCAAACAGAAAAGUAUCAAGAGCCUCCCCACCUGGGAAAGUCAUCACCUUGUCAAAGGAUUCUCUUCUUGCCCUCAACAGGCUAAGAGGAGAAAUAGAUCUAGAGAAGUCAAGAGCUAAGAGGAGUGACCCUACCCACGACAAGGAUUAUGAAGUAUGCAUCAGAGCGAAAAAUAAUGCAUGGAUUAUUGCUAAAAUUUCUCGAGGAAAAGAACUCUAUAUGGCUAUAGAGAAGGGCGGCGAAACACUUCUCUAUGCAUCUACAGCUGUUGAGAAAUUUAGCAACAGGUACUGUGAGGGGGCAUUCUCUACAGACUAA
rnacentral:rRNA from 1 species